UUCAUUAGAUGCAAAUCUGUCUUUUCCCAAGAUAUACAAACAUACACAUAUAUGUGUAAAAAUAUAUAUACAGUGUAUUUAUUAUUCUAGUCAGUACAGAGCUUCAAAAAGAUACUAUAUAUGUAUACAAUAUCUGAUUAUUAUAUUAAGGACUGUGAAAAUUAUUUAUUUAUUUUUUGUUUGAAGGCCUAAAUUCUAGCCAGAUGUGAAAGGUACUAUAUGAUGCACAGAUUAUUAUCUAGUAUGUCAGUAUUAACAAAAAAAAGUGUGCUUCAGCUCGGCUCACCUCCUUUGUGAAAUAAGAAUUUGUGUUUUGCUGAAUGCUCAUUUUAAAGGAUUUCCGAAUGGGGACCAUCCCUUCUAAAAAGGCUUACAGUAUCUAUCAAUUUGCAAAGCCGACUUAAAAGCAACAACAAGCCACAUAAAAUGUUUUGCUCGUGCUUCACAAUGCGGCUCCAGUUCACCCUUCAUGUGAUGUGAUUUUUAUUCUCUGUGUGGAUCUUUUCCCUCUCUCAGUCUCUUUCUCUCACACACACAGUUUAUCAAAUGAAAUGAACUAAAAGAGUAAGCCAAUUCCAGCAGUGACAGAAAACUGCCCACUCUUCCCCAUAAAAUUAGAAAAGCCGUUCGUGUUUUUAUCUUUCAGAUUUCCUGGGUUUUAUAGCUAAAUACUAAAGCACUGGAGGCUGGUCAUGCUUUAAGCUACUAGAAAAAAGUUAAGCUUCAACGUUGGCUAGCCGAGAUAUCGGCUAUAAGCUGACAAGUAAUUAAACCAGCAUAUCUGUAACAACUGUCAUCUCUUAUUUCUGUGCAGCUUGGACAUAAACCAAAGUCAAGGAAGCCAAAAAAAAGAAGAAAAAAAAAAAAGAAAGAAAGAAAGAAAGAAAAAGACUUCACAUUACUGGGUAACUGCUGAGCAUCUCCCGCAGAACAGUUUAGCAGACUUGGGCAUUUAGAGGAUUGUGCUGGAGAUCAAAAGGGUCGGAGAUCCCUUUACCAAUUAACAGCAGGGAGAAGAACAUCAAAUAAGGUGUAAAUUUCAGCUCUGCAGUUUUGAGUAAGUCAAGCAUGAAAUGCAUUCUAAUACUCUUGAGUAGCUGCAGCUUUGAGCCAUCAGUGAUGUCACUGGUGCAUUAAAGGGAGCUUAAUCGCACUUGGAGUGGCAUGGAGCAGUCCUACCCGGUUAGGUGCUAAAGCCGGUGUCAUGACUGUCUGAUAACAUGGGAACAACGGUCCUCAAUGCAACUGACAAAGAACAGAAAAAGAAAACCAACUGCCAAAAUGAAAAGAGUUUACGCAGCCAAGAUGCUGAUAUUGCAAAAUAGCAAAUAAAAGAAGGCUAAACAGCAGAAUCCCCAUUGUGAAGACAAAAUGGCCAGCGAGAAGUAACCCAGCUAGAAGCUGACAUUAAUUCAUGUAUGCAGUCACUGAAUAAAAAAGAUACAGUGACAUUUAUAAACUUGAAAAAUCAGACUUUAAAUUUUGCAGAAGAUAAUUUAAAUCUGAAAUG